rnacentral:rRNA from 1 species
ACAUUUCUUUGUGGUUAAAAUUUAAAGUAGCUCCUGCUCUAUGAUUAAUUUUAAAUGGCUGCAGUAUACUGACUGUGCAAAGGUAGCAUAAUAAUUAGUCUUUUAAUUGGGGACUUGUAUGAAUGGAUUAAUGAAAAAUUAGUUAUAUUAAUUUUAUUUUUUGAAUUUAAUUUUUAAGUUAAAAAGCUUAAUAUAUUGUUUGGGACGAUAAGACCCUAUAGAACUUUUUAAAUAUGUUUGGUUAAUAUUUUUUAGUUUUUUUAUACCUAAUUUUUUUAUUUUACUGGGGUGGUAAAUAAAUAUUAACUUUAUUUUUUUAUUUCAUUUUUAAAUGUAUUUUUGAUCUUUAUUUAUUAGAAUUAAAAGAUUAAGUUACCUUAGGGAUAACAGCGUAAUUUUAAUGGAAAGUUCUUAUUUAUAUUAAAGUUUGCGACCUCGAUGUUGAAUUAAGAUUAAAUUAAGGGGUAGGUUUUUUAAUUUUUAGUCUGUUCGACUAUUAAAAUCUUACAUGAUCUG